CAGAUAGUGUAGUUGAAAACUUGUCACUGAAGGUUUCUGCACUGCCCCGGUUAUUCCAAUACCAGCAACUGCAUCUUACUUUUUACAUGUUGCAAAUGGAGACAAACAACACAGGGAAAUGUUGACAGCUCUGCCUGAAAGGGCUGAAGCGCUCCCCAGUAAGCAAGAUCCCGUUAGAAAUAAGCCUUGUCCUAGUGGAAAACGUGAAUCUGACCAAAAAAACCCCAAACCCUUUACCCACAUUUUUUAAACUGUCUUAUUAAGAAACGCAGAAGGGCUCCUGAAAAAAAAAAAAAAGACUCAAGCAGACGGAUGACAAAGCUGGGGAAAAAUCAUGUACAUGACUCGGAACACGAGAACCACGAGAGAACUUGGCUCCGCAAACUUACAAGAGAGAUUACAUUUCCCCUUUGAAGUUUGUGAUGUCGUUGGGGUUUUGCUUGUUUGUUUGUUUGGCUCCUUUGGGUUAGUAGGAUAUUCCCCCCCCCCUCGCCAGCAAACGUGCUCAUCAUUUCAGCCACAAAUCUGGGAAAGCUUUUUCCUUCCCCCAGACCUGCCACUUUUCCUCCCGCCGUGUCCCUGGCAGGGAGGAGACACGCCAGCCCCACUCCCCGGCCACUGAACAUCCCCAGCUCCCCCCGCCCUGCUCUCUCCUCGUCUGUGUGGACAAGAUCCGCCUCACCCCAACCAGCCCCGCUCCCCAAGGUCAUGAAUGCAAAUGUAGCCUGCCGGCGGUGAAUGGGCUGAAUUGUGAUUAAGAAGAAGAAGAGCUCCUUUCUUUGUUCUCCCCUCAGGGGAUGUUUACUGGGAGAGACACAGCGGAUCAGAUAUGAAAGGCAUUCAGGAACACUUUGCUGAGAGCUUACAGCAGGGAACGACUGGAGCCAAAGACAGAAGUUGGUACACAGCUCUUUAAGUUAAAAGGCUUCAAGGAAAGUCUAGUCAGCAUCAUAAUUUUUUUCAUUAAAAAUGCUUGAUGAAGAAAUAU